UACGGGGGGGGCAAGCGUUGUUCGGAAUUACUGGGCGUAAAGGGCUCGUAGGCGGCCAACUAAGUCAAACGUGAAAUCCCUCGGCUUAACCGGGGAACUGCGUCUGAUACUGAAGAUCUUGAGUUCGGGAGAGGUGAGUGGAACUGCGAGUGUAGAGGUGAAAUUCGUAGAUAUUCGCAAGAACACCAGUGGCGAAGGCGGCUCACUGGCCCGAUACUGACGCUGAGGCACGAAGGCCAGGGGAGCAAACGGG
rnacentral:rRNA from 1 species